rnacentral:rRNA from 1 species
GAUGAACGCUGGCGGCGUGCCUAAUACAUGCAAGUCGAGCGAACAGACGAGGAGCUUGCUCCUCUAACGUUAGCGGCGGACGGGUGAGUAACACGUGGAUAACCUACCUAUAAGACUGGGAUAACUUCGGGAAACCGGAGCUAAUACCGGAUAAUAUAUUGAACCGCAUGGUUCAAUAGUGAAAGACGGUUUUGCUGUCACUUAUAGAUGGAUCCGCGCCGCAUUAGCUAGUUGGUAAGGUAACAGCUUACCAAGGCAACGAUGCGUAGCCGACCUGAGAGGGUGAUCGGCCACACUGGAACUGAGACACGGUCCAGACUCCUACGGGAGGCAGCAGUAGGGAAUCUUCCGCAAUGGGCGAAAGCCUGACGGAGCAACGCCGCGUGAGUGAUGAAGGUCUUCGGAUCGUAAAACUCUGUUAUUAGGGAAGAACAAAUGUGUAAGUAACUACGCACGUCUUGACGGUACCUAAUCAGAAAGCCACGGCUAACUACGUG